rnacentral:rRNA from 1 species
GAUGAACGCUAGCUACAGGCUUAACACAUGCAAGUCGCGGGGCAGCAUGGGGGUUGCUUGCAAUCCCCGAUGGCGACCGGCGCACGGGUGAGUAACGCGUAUCCAACCUGCCCUUCACCACGGGAUAACCCGGCGAAAGUCGGACUAAUACCGUAUGUUGUCCAUUGACGGCAUCCGAUUUGGACGAAAGGCUUGGCGGUGAGGGAUGGGGAUGCGUCCGAUUAGCCAGACGGCGGGGUAACGGCCCACCGUGGCUACGAUCGGUAGGGGUUCUGAGAGGAAGGUCCCCCACACUGGAACUGAGACACGGUCCAGACUCCUACGGGAGGCAGCAGUGAGGAAUAUUGGUCAAUGGGCGUAAGCCUGAACCGGCCAAGUAGCGUGCAGGAGGACGGCCCUAUGGGUUGUAAACUGCUUUUAUGCGGGGAUAAAGUGGCCCACGUGUGGGCUUUUGCAGGUACCGCAUGAAUAAGGACCGGCUAAUUCCGUG